GGCCCAGGGAGGGCACCUCCUCUGGGCUCCGUUAUGAAGUCUUUUCCCAGGCACCAUGUGGAGGCCCCAGCCUGCAGAACACCAGGUCUGAGAUCAAGCCUGGGCCAUGGGCUGCUCCCUGCUGCUCCAGCCCUGCCUGGCCCUGCCUGGCCCGGCCCAGUCUCCUCUGGGAGCUGCCAUCCCUGAGAUGGGGACACCGCACCCCACCCGGGAGCUGUGAGGAACUGAAGUGGCAGGUACCACCAUGAGGACCUGCCCAUGGUGUCAUAUCUCACUCAAUCCUCACAACCAUGGCAGGGAGGUGUUAUCAUCAUCUCCACUUGACAGAGGAAGAAACUGAGGCUCAGAGAAGGACAAGUGGGACAUACUCAGCCAUGCAGGUUUCGAGGACACCUCAGGAAUUCUUGGACUUGAAACAUCAAGUAAUCCAGCAGAGAUGGUGGCUGUGGGUAAAGAUGCAUCUUUUUUCACGUCAAGUGGGAAAUUACCCUUUCAAUGUUGGAGGAAGUUGGCCAUGGAGGUUGCCUGGUGUCAAGAAAGUGUGGAGCUCUGACCACGUGAUUUGUCCUCUCUUGCUUGACACUGAAUGGAGAAGAGCUGGCAGGUGGACAGAACAAGGAGGGUCACCUGAAUGGGCAUCACAGAGGACUGGACUGUUGGGAAAAACACCUCUUCCAGGAGGCCUUCCUACUACUCCCCCACCUCCUGGCCAAGGAAACUGAGUGCUGACCAGCUGUCUUGGCAUCAGUUGCCAGGCUUGGUACCCAUGAGCAUCCUCAUUAGAAUCUCACCUUCACCUCUGGUGCCCUCUGACCAUGAG